GACGAACGCUGGCGGCGUGCUUAACACAUGCAAGUCGAGCGGUAAGGCCCUUUCGGGGGUACACGAGCGGCGAACGGGUGAGUAACACGUGGGUGACCUGCCCUUAGCUCUGGGAUAAGCCUGGGAAACUGGGUCUAAUACCGGAUAUGACUCCAUAACGCAUGUUGUGGGGUGGAAAGCCUUGUGCGGCUAGGGAUGGGCCCGCGGCCCUAUCAGCUUGUUGGUGGGGUGAUGGCCUACCAAGGCGACGACGGGUAGCCGGCCUGAGA
rnacentral:rRNA from 1 species